CACGUAGGGUGCGAGCGUUGUCCGGAAUCACUGGGCGUAAAGCGCGCGUAGGCGGCUUUGCAAGUCGAGUGUGAAAUCCCCAGGCUCAACCUGGGAACUGCAUUCGAGACUGCAUAGCUAGAGUAUGGGAGAGGGAAGUGGAAUUUCAGGUGUAGCGGUGAAAUGCGUAGAUAUCUGAAGGAACAUCAGUGGCGAAGAAGCUCAUGU
rnacentral:rRNA from 1 species